rnacentral:lncRNA from 10 species
CUAUUCAAAAAGUGUUAUGGGAGCUAAGCAGAAGCAGCAACUGCUUGAAAAAAGAUUUUACAGAAAAGGUGGUAUCUGAGAUGGAUCUUGAGUGAGGGACAGGAUUUCAUGAAGAGGCAUAACUAAGGAUUAGUGAACUGUAAGAAUUCCCCCACAUGAAGGGAGAGGCACAGGGUGAAAGAGAGAAAAGAAGAAGGAUGGUUGGGGCCACAUUCUUUCAACAAAUGCUGAACACCUAUCAAGUGCCCAGCACAGAACACUUACAGACCCUAAAGCCACCCCAAAAGUGAUAAGCAAGCUUCCGAAAAAGAUGUCUGAAGAAUACAAAUCCUCCACCGUAUCCUGUCCGUUGCAUCCACUCCCACCUGCUACCACUUCUAUCCACUUUACCGAUAUGGUCACGAUGAGCGCUACAAAAUUGCUGCCAAAUAAGUAAAUAUGAGCGCAACACAAAGCCAGUUGGUGGGGACCAAAAAGUACCUUUAGAGGCACUCAGCCCCUUCGUAAAAGUCAGCAUGUGUUUAGCUCUUUAAAACAUCUCGCCUUACCAAACUCUACGAAGAAUGAGAAUUAAGACCGUCCUCUAACCUAACCCAUGCGGAUAUGAAAAGUGGAAGGAGAUUUCAAGACAGGUUUAUACUAACUAAUCCAUUAGCCCAAGGCAGAUCAGAGCUGUCAACAAAUCAGGACCAAAUCAGAAAGAACAAAGUUGCAAAUGUGAGAGGGUGUGUAUGCACUGGUGCGGGGGAAGAGGAUGGGUGGGAGGACAAUUUUUAAAAUGCAAUCAUUGAAAACGGGAGAAUCCAAGUCCUCUGUCUCCCAGCCGGCCUCCAAACCUCGAUUCCACGGGCAGUGCCGGGAAUGGACCUAAUCCCAGGAUCGCAGGGAUUUGGGGGCGGGGUGGGGCUGCCUCCCGCACCCGCGUGCCUGAGCGCCCAGCCCCCGCGAUGAGGACGCGCUCGGGACACUCACGUUUUCUGCACCGGCUUCCGCCGCUUGCGACUGG